UAUUGGACAAUGGGGGAAACCCUGAUCCAGCGACGCCGCGUGAGUGAAGAAGUAUCUCGGUCUGUAAAGCUCUAUCAGCAGGGAAGAAGAAAUGACGGUACCUGAGUAAGAAGCACCGUCUACCUACGUGCCAGCCGCCGCGGUAAUACGUAGGGGGCAAGCGUUAUCCGGAAUUACUGGGUGUAAAGGGAGCGUAGACGGUGAUGUAAGUCUGGAGUGAAAGGCGGGGGCCCAACCCCCGGACUGCUCUGGAAACUAUGUGACUGGAGUGCAGGAGAGAUGAGCGGAAUUCCUAGUGUAGCGGUGAAAUGCGUAGAUAUUAGGAGGAACACCAGUGGCGAAGGCGGCUCACUGGACGGUAACUGACGUUGAGGCUCGAAAGCGUGGGGAGCAAACAGG
rnacentral:rRNA from 1 species